UUAAUGAUUUUCUUAAUCUACGUGCACAAUUUUAAAACGAUUUAUAUUAAAAACGGAGAGAGUAUGUUGCUAUUCACUUUUGGAUCUUCAGAGGGUGUUUUAGGUAAACAUUACCCUAAUAAAUGGCUUUCUGAAGAUCUUUUGCCGCUAUGGAGGCCAACCAUGGAACGUUAUUAUAAAAGUGUUGUGGAUGUUGGCAAGAAAUUGCUUGGCCUAGUGGCUUUAGCGUUGGAUUUGGAAGAGAACUUCUUUGAAAGAUUGGGAGCCUUCAAUGAUCAAGCAGCAGUUGUUCGCCUCUUACGUUAUUCAGGAGAGUUGAAUUCAUCCAAAGAAGAAGAACCAUGUGGGGCCUCUGCUCAUUCAGAUUUUGGAAUGCUAACUCUUCUUGCAACAGAUGGAGUUCCAGGGCUUCAAGUUUGCAGGGAUAAAGAUAAAGAACCAAAUGUUUGGGAAGAUGUCCCUGGGAUUAAAGGUGUUUUGUUGUCAACAUCGGAGACCUUAUGGAGAGAUGGACUAAUGGGCUUUUCCGGUACCCACCAAAAGUUCAACCUUUUCAUUUCAGGGCAUUAUAUUGAUUUCAAAACCUCAGUCUUAUGUGCGUUUUAUAGAUCAACAAUGCAUAGAGUGUUGUCAGUGGGAGAAGAACGUUACUCGGUGGCUGUAUUUCUAGAUCCAGACCCAAACUGUGUUGUGGAGUGCUUGGAGAGUUGUUGUAGUCAAACAUACCCUCCUAGGGAUAGGAAAGGCUUCUUUAACCUCCCACAAGAGGAAAAGAUAGCAUACAAUCCUGCAAAGUGGAUAUUACUACAAACCAUGGAAUAUUACUACAAGAAUGUCCUGUCUGUGGGUAGGAAAUGCUCGGCUUGAUUGCCUUGGUAUUGGAUUUAGAUGAGGACUUCAACAAGUCGGGGACUUAAUGAUCCUACAGCAGUUGUUCGCCUUUUACGCUAUAUAUCUACGUACAUCAAUUUCUGAUGAAGUGGUUUGCGCACACAAAAAGGGGUGAAGUGGUUUAGUCGGAUGUAGAAACAUAUGGGGCCUCAGCUCACUCAGAUUUUGGAAUGGUCACUCUUCUUGACUAAUGGAGUUCCAGGACUUCAGGUAGUCUUUAAUCUGUCUCAUGUGGACAUUGGCGAUCAAACUUUUGAUUGGGACAAGUCAAAAUUGUAACGACCUGACCCGGUGUUUCCUUUCUAAAUCCGGUUUGUUUGGUUCAAUUAAUUAAUUUUAGAACCCAAGCCAAUUAUUUAAUCCUUCUCAAGCCGUGUAGGUAUUUAUAUUGACGUAAGUACCUCUUUCUCUAAAACCUGCGCCGCCUUUCCCAUCCCCUCUCCUUCUUCGGUCUCUCCAAUUGUAUACCUCUCUCUUAUUACUUCUCUUCUCAACUUCUUUUUACUUAUGUUCUUCUUUUAAUUUGAUGUUGUAACUGUACCGAUAUGGAGAGGAAUGUUGCGAUCAUCACCAUCUCUUGUCUCAAUCUUCAACCGCUCUUCUCACUACAAUCGCUCGACGUCAGAGUUAUCACAGUCCACCGGAAAGCUGCGCUGUCACUGCGGAGUCCAUGAUUCUAUCGCCACUCUUGUCGUCAUGUUGUUCAGUCGUGUGCCAAGAGGAAGGUGCUGUCCAAAGAGAUGCGAUCUGUCAUUGCUCUUCACCACUGUGAGUUAAGCACAACCGAAGCUCACAGCCAUGUCAUCAGCCACACCCUUUCCGACGGAGCCACCAUCAUCAACCGUGAGCCUUGCCGUGAGGAAGAAUCUACUUGGCUACGAUGGAGCUAUUGGUUAUGCCCCAAAUUGGUUUGAUAUUAACAAAGUCGCUUAUUAAACAAAUGUGUAUGCUUAUGUGCAUUUUACUAAAAAUGAU